UUUUUGUCCUUAUGUAAAAUCUAUUUAACUGAUUGAGUAUGACUAACAUACAACUUCAAUGAUACAUAAAUAAGCGUAGAAUUGGAACUGCAAAUUACACAAUCAAUCUUCAAAUAUCACCAGCUCCAGCCAUUCAUUUCUAUUGAAUAAUACCAUGAACAAGACCCAUAUGUCCUUUUAAAUGUGCCUUAUGAACAAAAGUUUUAUGGCAGUAAUCACAUCUAAAUUGACGCGGUACACCACAUUCAUACAUUGCAGAAUAUUCAAUAUUUGGCAUUAACUUCUGUAUUCUUCAACGUCGGCACUAGCUUAAACAAUUGACCACAUUGCUACCAUGAGAAUUAUACCAGGUAGAGAAUAAGGGUGGGGUAAAUCAAACGGUGCAGUUCAGAAGGUUGGUACUUCCCAUGUAGUGGGUUAGUGCAAUUAUGAUGGUCUCAUUUCGUUGGGCAGACCAUUAUCACUUAUCAGUCAUUACCAUGGUUUGGUCUAGUGAACAACAGGGCUUCGCUAUCCGUACAUUUUUUUCGUCUCUGUGAGGUAGCUCACACUUUCAACGGAUUAGAGCAUUUGUUAUUUUGCUUGUGGGGCUACCUGAAGGGAAAGGUUUUUAAACAUCAGCUUCACAUCUUGGAAGACCUCAAAGAGCGAAUUAGGG